GAGUCGUAACUCGGUAGCACGUAANGAUGCUUGCUAUUUUUAUGAAGAGCGGCGAACGGGUGAGUAACGCGUGGGAAAUCUGCCGAGUAGCGGGGGACAACGUUUGGAAACGAACGCUAAUACCGCAUAACAAUGAGAAUCGCAUGAUUCUUAUUUGAAAGAAGCAAUUGCUUCACUACUUGAUGAUCCCGCGUUGUAUUAGCUAGUUGGUAGUGUAAAGGACUACCAAGGCGAUGAUACAUAGCCGACCUGAGAGGGUGAUCGGCCACACUGGGACUGAUACACGGCCCAGACUCCUACGGGAGGCAGCAGUAGGGAAUCUUCGGCAAUGGGGGCAACCCUGACCGAGCAACGCCGCGUGAGUGAAGAAGGUUUUCGGAUCGUAAAACUCUGUUGUUAGAGAAGAACGUUAAGUAGAGUGGAAAAUUACUUAAGUGACGGUAUCUAACCAGAAAGGGACGGCUAACUACGUGCCAGCAGCCGCGGUAAUACGUAGGUCCCAAGCGUUGUCCGGAUUUAUUGGGCGUAAAGCGAGCGCAGGUGGUUUCUUAAGUCUGAUGUAAAAGGCAGUGGCUCAACCAUUGUGUGCAUUGGAAACUGGGAGACUUGAGUGCAGGAGAGGAGAGUGGAAUUCCAUGUGUAGCGGUGAAAUGCGUAGAUAUAUGGAGGAACACCGGAGGCGAAAGCGGCUCUCUGGCCUGUAACUGACACUGAGGCUCGAAAGCGUGGGGAGCAAACAGGAUUAUAUACCCUGGUAGUCCACGCCGUAAACGAUGAGUGCUAGCUGUAGGGAGCUAUAAGUUCUCUGUAGCGCAGCUAACGCAUUAAGCACUCCGCCUGGGGAGUACGACCGCAAGGUUGAAACUCAGAGGAAUUGACGGGGGCCGCACAUCGGUGCAGCAUGUGGUUUAUUACGAAGCAACGCGAACAUCCUU
rnacentral:rRNA from 1 species